GACGAACGCUGGCGGCGUGCCUAAUACAUGCAAGUCGAACGAGUGGCGGACGGGUGAGUAACACGUGGGAACCUACCCAUCAGAGGGGGAUAACUAUUGGAAACGAUAGCUAAUACCGCCUACUUUUGGAUGGACCUGCGUUGUAUUAGCUAGUUGGGGAGGUAAAGGCUCACCAAGGCGACGAUACAUAGCCGACCUGGGAGGGUGAUCGGCCACACUGGGACUGAGACACGGUCCAGACUCCUACGGGAGGCAGCAGUGGGGAAUAUUGCACAAUGGGCGCAAGCCUGAUGCAGCCAUGCCGCGUGUAUGAAGAAGGCCUUCGGGUUGUAAAGUACUUUCAGCGGGGAGGCGUUACCCGCAGAAGAAGCACCGGCUAACUCCGUGCCAGCAGCCGCGGUAAUAC
rnacentral:rRNA from 1 species